GGCUAACGACUGGGAGGAGCAGAUGGAUUUUUGGAUGAUUUCUUCUUUACGCUAAUGUCUUCAUGGAGAAAAAGUGAGGGGAGAGAAAUACCAAAGACUGGAGUAUGAGAUGAGUCUGAACCAAACCACUGCCAGACUCUGGGGAGUUUCUCAGCUCAGGCCUCUCUGGCCCUAAUUGUCAGGUCUGGCUGAGCUGUGUUUGUUGCGGGACACUAGUGCGUAGGACAAAGGUGAUUUUCUGCCACUUUUGCAAUCUCCCAUCCCAUUACCUGAGGCUGGAAACAGCCCCAAGUGGAUGGUAGCGAAGUCUAAGAUAGCUGGAACCAAGCAGCCACCUUCACCCCUCCUCUUGCCUCCUCCAAACCACUUGCCCAGCACCCCUGUGCACUGGGGUCUGCAGGAGGGAUCCCCUACAACCAGUGAAAUAGCUGCAUUGGCCCCUUUGCUCACUGGAGUAGCACAGGACAGUGCCAACCACCUGAUCCAAUGAGUUCUCCUGUCGUGAGGAAGUAUAUUUGUCUAAAAUAAGUCAUCCAGUCUGAGAGCAUAUGGCUGAGCUUUGAAUAUGGAAAACAUAACAAGAAACCUGAUGACAAGGAUGGGAGAAGAAGCACUGAAGAGGCCUCUGAGCUAAGAGAGAAGAAAAGUAAAUGAGAGAACACAGUAACAGCUCAGCAUUAGCUCUGCCUCAUAAAAGGGUAGACUCGUUAAAAAUUUAAAGAGGUGCUGCCAACCAUCUCCCUAGCGAGGCCAUACAAGUUCGCAACAGCAGACACUGGGUUAUUAACCAAGGAUCUUCUCUUGACAUUUGAAGCCAGCACAGCUAAACUAUAUAACCUCAGACUGUCCUAACAAGCAAUCUCUAAAUAAUAAAUAUGCAACAGCAAGAGAAAGUA